CUGAUCGAAUGAUGAACAAUUUUUCUGGUGUGUUUCAUCAUUUUAUAUGAAAUUACAGGAGGCAAAGUGAUAUUGGCGAGAUAUCGUUUCGAUCGUUAUUUUUUCCGGUUAACGAUUCGAUUGUUGCUCGUCUACAU